UACGAAGGUCCCAAGCGUUAUCCGGAUUUAUUGGGUUUAAAGGGUGCGUAGGCGGGCUAUUAAGUCAGUGGUGAAAGCCCCAAGCUUAACUUGGGAACUGCCAUUGAUACUGAUGGUCUUGAGUACAUUUGAGGUGGGCGGAAUGUGUCAUGUAGCGGUGAAAUGCUUAGAUAUGCGGAGGAACACCGAUGGCGAAGGCAAUCCCCUGGGCCUGCACUGACGCUCAUGCACGAAAGCGUGGGGAGCAAACAGG
rnacentral:rRNA from 1 species